UUCCUCAUAGUCUAGUGGUUACGAUACUCCGCUUUCACCGGAGAGGCCGGGGUUCAAUUCCCCGUGAGGAAG
rnacentral:tRNA from 1 species